rnacentral:misc_RNA from 1 species
GAUGAAGAACGUAGUGAAAUGCGAUAAGUAAUGUGAAUUGCAGAAUUCCGUGAAUCAUCGAAUCUUUGAACGCACAUUGCGCCCUCUGGUAUUCCGGGGGGCAUGCCUGUCCGAGCGUCAUUUGCAACCCCCAAGCCCGGCUUGUGUGAUGGGUGCCGUCCCCUACGGGACGCGCCCCGAAGGCAAUGGCGGCGUCGCGGUUAUCCGAUCAGCCAAAGUGUAUGGGGCUUUGUCACUCACUUUACGGCCCGGACCGGCGCCAGUCCGAAUCAAUCUUUUUUCUAAAGUUGACCUCGGAUCAGGUAGGGAUACCCGCUGAACUUAAGCAUAUCAAUAAGCGGAGGA